CGCUUCUUUGAUUCGAAAGUCAGAACUCUUGGCCUCUGGAUUUUCUCUUAGAACAGCCUUCACUCAUUACGGUACAGGCUCAUUCCAUUCUGGAAUAGCUGGUAAGUAGAAAGGUUUUACAAAUACCGUACUCUUAUAGAACUACUACCUUACCAGUAUUGUCCACAAUAACCACACGCCGGUUAUAAAUGAUAUGGCAAUCAUCGCCAGGACCUAUAGAAUGGAUCUGAUUUCCCUUCUAAGGGAGAGAUGAAAAUGGAUUGAUCCUUCUUUGAGUCCCAUGUUGUUCGUUUAGUCUAGACUGCUUUGUAUAGCUUAGCUUCUCCUCUGCUUAGCGGCUGUUAGCUUCGGAGGCAAAACCCUUUAUUCAAGUAGAGUGUAGAGUCAAAGAAAGACAUUGAAUUU
rnacentral:lncRNA from 1 species